AGCAGCCGCGGUAAUUCCAGCUCCAAUAGCGUAUAUUAAAGUUGUUGCAGUUAAAAGCUCGUAGUUGAAUUUCGGGAUCAAUACGUCGGUCGUGCCUUCGGUACGUACUGGGGUCGUCGAUUUCUCCCUUCUGAUGAAUCACGAUGUCAUUAAUUUGGUGUUGUGGGGAGUCAGGACUGUUACUUUGAAAAAUUAGAGUGUUUAAAGCAGGCAAACGCUUGGAUACAUUAGCAUGGAAUAAUGAAAUAGGACGUUCGAACCUAUUUUGUUGGUUUCUAGGAUCAACGUAAUGAUUAAUAGGGAUAGUUGGGGGCAUUAGUAUUCAAUUGUCAGAGGUGAAAUUCUUGGAUUUAUUGAAGACUAACUACUGCGAAAGCAUUUGCCAAGGAUGUUUUCAUUAAUCAAGAACGAAAGUUAGGGGAUCGAAGACGAUCAGAUACCGUCGUAGUCUUAACCAUAAACUAUGCCGACUAGGGAUCGGAUGAAGUUAAUUUUUAAUGACUCAUUCGGCGCCUUACGG
rnacentral:rRNA from 1 species